rnacentral:rRNA from 1 species
UACGUAGGGUGCAAGCGUUGUCCGGAAUUAUUGGGCGUAAAGAGCUCGUAGGCGGUCUGUCGCGUCGGCUGUGAAACUCCGGAGCUCAACUCCGGGCCUGCAGUCGAUACGGGCAGACUGGAGUUCGGCAGGGGAGACUGGAAUUCCUGGUGUAGCGGUGAAAUGCGCAGAUAUCAGGAGGAACACCGGUGGCGAAGGCGGGUCUCUGGGCCGAUACUGACGCUGAGGAGCGAAAGCGUGGGGAGCGAACAGG